CUACGGGACGCUGCAGUGAGGAAUUUUGCGCAAUGGGGGGAACCCUGACGCAGCAACGCCGCGUGAGUGAAGAAGGCCUUUGGGUCGUAAAGCUCUGUCAACUGGGAAGAAAUUAGAGUUGUUUAACAGAUGAUUCUAUUGACGGUACCAGUGGAGGAAGCGCCGGCUAACUCCGUGCCAGCAGCCGCGGUAACACGGGGGGCGCAAGCGUUAUUCGGAAUUAUUGGGCGUAAAGGGCGCGCAGGCGGUCUUGUCGGUCAGGUGUGAAAGCCCGGGGCUCAACCCUGGAAGUGCACUUGAAACAGCAAGACUUGAGUACGGGAGAGGAAAGCGGAAUUCCUGGUGUAGAGGUGAAAUUCGUAGAUAUCAGGAGGAACACCGAUGGCGAAGGCAGCUUUCUGGACCGAUACUGACGCUGAGGCGCGAAGGCGUGGGUAGCGAACGGGAUUAGAUACCCCGGUAGUC
rnacentral:rRNA from 1 species